UUGUUGCAAACAUUCUUCGCUUGAGCUUCGGCUCAAGUGAAGCAUACGGCGAGCAGUGCUUGGUUUCAGGCGCUCCUUGCUUAGUGAAGGCACGUCUAAUAUGCUAACGUUGAGAGAACAGUCGUUUAAAGAAUGUGGUAAGCUAAAAAAAGUGGCUCCAUGAUGUGCCACUACAACAGAGGUUGUUGAAAUACGGCUGGUUGGAGUUGGGGCGUCGUGCAACGGAGCAAACUAGACUAUCAUUUCGAGAAU
rnacentral:ncRNA from 2 species